CCAAGGCGAUGAUACGUAGCCGAACUGAGAGGUUGAUCGGCCACAUUGGGACUGAGACACGGCCCAAACUCCUACGGGAGGCAGCAGUAGGGAAUCUUCCACAAUGGACGCAAGUCUGAUGGAGCAACGCCGCGUGAGUGAAGAAGGCUUUCGGGUCGUAAAACUCUGUUGUUGGAGAAGAAUGGUCGGCAGAGUAACUGUUGUCGGCGUGACGGUAUCCAACCAGAAAGCCACGGCUAACUACGUGCCAGCAGCCGCGGUAAUACGUAGGUGGCAAGCGUUAUCCGGAUUUAUUGGGCGUAAAGCGAGCGCAGGCGGUUUUUUAAGUCUGAUGUGAAAGCCCUCGGCUUAACCGAGGAAGCGCAUCGGAAACUGGGAAACUUGAGUGCAGAAGAGGACAGUGGAACUCCAUGUGUAGCGGUGAAAUGCGUAGAUAUAUGGAAGAACACCAGUGGCGAAGGCGGCUGUCUGGUCUGUAACUGACGCUAGGCUCGAAAGCAUGGGUAGCGAACAGGAUUAGAUACCCUGGUAGUCCAUGCCGUAAACGAUGAAUGCUAGGUGUUGGAGGGUUUCCGCCCUUCAGUGCCGCAGCUAACGCAUUAAGCAUUCCGCCUGGGGAGUACGACCGCAAGGUUGAAACUCAAAGGAAUUGACGGGGGCCCGCACAAGCGGUGGAGCAUGUGGUUUAAUUCGAAGCAACGCGAAGAACCUUACCAGGUCUUGACAUCUUUUGAUCACCUGAGAGAUCAGGUUUCCCCUUCGGGGGCAAAAUGACAGGUGGUGCAUGGUUGUCGUCAGCUCGUGUCGUGAGAUGUUGGGUUAAGUCCCGCAACGAGCGCAACCCUUAUGACUAGUUGCCAGCAUUGAGUUGGGCACUCUAGUAAGACUGCCGGUGACAAACCGGAGGAAGGUGGGGAUGACGUCAAAUCAUCAUGCCCCUUAUGACCUGGGCUACACACGUGCUACAAUGGAUGGUACA
rnacentral:rRNA from 1 species